rnacentral:rRNA from 1 species
CUCGUAGGCGGUUCGUCGCGUCCGGUGUGAAAGUCCAUCGCUUAACGGUGGAUCUGCGCCGGGUACGGGCGGGCUGGAGUGCGGUAGGGGAGACUGGAAUUCCUGGUGUAGCGGUGGAAUGCGCAGAUAUCAGGAGGAACACCGGUGGCGAAGGCGGAUCUCUGGGCCAUUACUGACGCUGAGGAGCGAAAGCGUGGGGAGCGAACA